AGGGUUCGAUUAUGGCUCAGGAUGAACGCUAGCGACAGGCUUAACACAUGCAAGUCGAGGGGCAGCACGAGGUAGCAAUACUUUGGUGGCGACCGGCGCACGGGUGAGUAACGCGUAUGCAACCUACCUAUCAGAGGAGGAUAGCCCGGCGAAAGUCGGAUUAAUACUCCAUAAAACAGGGGUUCCACAUGGAAAUAUUUGUUAAAGAAGCAAUUUGCUGAUAGAUGGGCAUGCGUUCCAUUAGGCAGUUGGCGGGGUAACGGCCCACCAAACCGACGAUGGAUAGGGGUUCUGAGAGGAAGGUCCCCCACAUUGGUACUGAGACACGGACCAA
rnacentral:rRNA from 1 species